GGUCUGUUGGUCAAGUGGUUAAGACGGCACCCUUUCAAGGUGCAAUCACGGGUUCAAUUCCCGUACAGACUA
rnacentral:tRNA from 1 species